CAUCUUCGACCUGCUGUGGGCAAAUCCAGUGAAUAUGGGCGUCAAUCCCGCCUGCGGUGAUGAUGUUGCCUUCACCGGCAAUCACCUCGGUUCCCGGACCGAUGAUGAUAUCGACACCGGGCUGCACAUCGGGGUUUCCGGCCUUGCCGAUCCCGGCAAUGCGGCCAUCGCGAAUGCCGAUAUCGGCCUUGAUGAUACCGGUAUAAUCAAGGAUCAGCGCGUUGGUGAUCACGGUAUCGACCGAUCCCUCGGCCCGCGAUGCCUGCGACUGGCCCAUGCCGUCGCGGAUG
rnacentral:sRNA from 1 species